UAUAUAUAGGUGUAUAUAGCACAUUAAGUUUUGAUCUUUUUAGGGCUAGUGUGAGUCUAGUAUGUAUAA
rnacentral:tRNA from 1 species